ACUCCCCACCAAGAGCAGACUUUUACCUGCACUAGGUUGGGUUUGAUUGGUGGAAUUUAUUGUUUUUUUUCAAGAUGGCAUCGGACAAAAGCGUCCAAAUCCCAAGCCUGUUUUUGUGCCGUACCUGAGCCCCCUAGUCCUGUGCAAAGAGCUGGAAACCCUGUUGGAGAACGAGGGGAAUCAGGUGACCUCUCACAGUCUGCUCAGUGUGUCCCAGACUGAUACCAUGUUUCCAACACCUCUGUUCUGUCUGAUCAGGUCAUCUACACACACAAGUUCUUCAGCCAGCAUCCCAUUAUUUUCUGGAACCUGGUGUUGUAUUUCCGCUGCCUGGACCUUCCCACCCACCUGUCGGGCCUCAUUCUGAACUCUGAACACUGCAACAAUGGAGUACAGGUUAAACAGCAUGUUGCUUUGUUCCCUUAUUCCUUCAGCCUGAGUCGCAUAAAAUCUGCAGAUCAGUGUUGGUGUUCAGCAUGAAUGUGUUUUUGCAGCUUCCCCUGGCAUCCCUGUCUCAAGACAGUGAACAUGUUUACACAAAGCUGCUGUGGGACAACAUCAACCUGCACCAGGAACCCGGAGAACCUCUGUACCUGCUCUGGAGAACCUUCUGUGUGACGGGAAGCUUCAUGUUGUAGAAAGAGAGCACCACCACUAGAGGGCACUAGAACAUUCCACAUGUCAUAGCCGAAAUGUUUAUUAUUUUGGAUGGAGUGGCCAGAAGUCAUUAGAUACUGCUGCUUUUUGUGUUGUAGUGGAGAAGAAGGGGACUUUGGCUCUAACGGACCACCAGGAGAUCCGAACCCUCCUGAACACCAUCGUCCGUAACAUCCAGACGAACGACGUCUACGGCCCCAUCAACCUGCUGGUACGAGAGAUCAAAUGGCAGCCAGAUAGAGUCAAAUGACAGAGGUCAGCCUUGUCUGCUCUGACGUUGGUUUGUUGUGUUUAUAAGCAGAACAUUUUUGAUGUUUGUUUGCUUUCUCAGGAGUAUAUAUAGACAUCCUCUUCCUGUCACUGGCAGCCUUGGGACCGGAGACCAUCGACGUGGAGGCCUUCGACCGUGAGUACCGCCAGGCGUACGACGAACUGAGCUCGGAGCAGCUCAAGUCUCUGCAGCGCAUCGAUUGCCCUCCCACCUCCAAUAUCCAGUGGUGCCUUAAAUGUUUUAGACCCCCAGUCAUCUGAGCCCCUCGGAUCUCAAGAACGUUUUAGAAAAUCCCUCCAGUCGCUGAACAUGGUACUCAUGUCUUUGAAGCUGCGGCUCCCCUGCUUCUCUCCUGUUGUAUGUAUUUUCGCUCUUCUCAGAAAGCGGUGAUGUUUUGGGUCUCAUUGAGCCAUAUUUCACAACCAUAACCGAACAGAAUGUCCACGAGUGGAUUUACUAACCGUCUCCAGAUCAGAUACAGAGCAGAGAAAACCGACUGCUUUUGUGCUCCUUCUGUAAAUAUACUUUUUUCUACAUAGUUUCCAUUUGAGUGAAGCCUGAAACCUUAGGUGCAGGGCCGAAUUACCAUCGCAGGGCCCCUGGGCACAAUGUGCAUCCUCAAAUCGGUGACAAACAUAAGUCCUUUAAGGCAGCUCAUCAAGAGCUGAUUUACUCCAGCUGGGCCUGGUAGGAUCCAUGGAGUGUCACUCUCCAUGGUGCUGAACAUGCUGAGUGUCGGCUGGAGCGCUGCUCUCCAGGGUGCUGAUCCACUGGGCAUAGACAGAACGAGCUUUAAAGAGACCAUGGGGCCACUGACCCUUCUCAGGAUGGGACAGCAAAACCCAGGGCUCAUAACAAAGCUAAGCAUUCUAGCUUUCCGUACGGAUGAGUGGCAGCGAUGUCUCAUUCCGCGAGCAUGUAUUAUCCCAGCAUUUGAACACGAGAGCCACGUUAUUCUGUUUAGCUGAAGAGGUUUAUUUUCUUCUUGAUUUAAACCAAAUUGAAGGCUUAGUAGCCAACCAGCUAGCUAACGUUAAGCAUGCAGACUUUUCCGUCCACUCUCCUCGGUUCUCUGUUUCAAGUUACCCACGUUCUGUUUUGAGUGUAUGUGUGUGUGCAUGGAUAUAAUGCAUGUCUAAAAAUAACAUACAGACUUAGUUGGCUUUGAUGUAGUCAUGCUGUGGGUUUCUGAAUACAUGUGACUAAGUUCAUUACAGUGACAGGCGGCUAAAUCUGCUAACUGUUGAGAUGAAUCCAAAUUAUUUUUUUUUUCAUUUUCAAUUUCUUGAUAAAAUUAUUAGAAAUUUUAAAUUCUGAUUUAAUAGAAAUGUUUACAAUACUAAUCUAAAUUCCUUUUGUGAUGCAUUCACAGUUUGACUAUUAACAUUGAUUUACUUCUUGUGUUCUUCAAUGUGUCUUUCAUUUUUAUUUUCCUUAUCGGAUACAUACAAAUUCAUACAUAUUUCCAUUACUUUGAUUACCGUUGAUUACUUUAUCACAAAUUUUUUAUGCUUUCAAUUUCAACUUUUUGUCAGUUAUGAGCCACUGAUUACUUUGCUUUUCCAUUUUGGAUUUCAUUAAUUGCUUUCAAAAGUUUUUUUCCACUCUUGCAUAUAUUAUAGGGUUUUGUUGAUUUUGUUCAUUUAUGCACCUUUUCCAGUAUACAUAGUUUACUACAUCGACAUCUUUCAGUUGAUUUCCUUCCACAUAAUCUCCAGUCACAUAGCACAUAUAGGGUACACAUAGUCCUAGUGUUUUUUUAUUUGUUCUUUUCCAUCAGACGUCAUCUAUGUGGGUCUAUGGUCAAAUGCCCCGUGUGUGCGUUUGGAUGGUUUGCUGAGUUUCGACAGAUGUCUGGUGAGGACAUCAUUGCCUUCUUCGUCUGUCUCCUGGCUCUGCUUCCUCUUGGCCUGGGUUCUGGUUCUUCUGAAGUUCUGGAAGUCCUCUGGGAAUUCCUGUCUUCUGGCUUCGCUGUGAUUCGAUAUGGUCUGGUUUGCUUCUCCUCAUGGCUCUGACUUCCUUCUUAUCGUGGUCCCUGCCUGAAGAUUUCGCUAAUUAGGAUUACAAUUUGCUGAUUGGGAUAUCUAUUGACUGCUCUGCUGUGAGGGUUUGGUUUUCUUCACUCCUGCUGCUUUUGGUGACUAAGAACUAACUCUGUCUUCCUCUGCUGAGUCCUCAGGGCCUCUGAUGUUAUCACUCACCAAUUAUGUGUAAUAACUGUACACACGCUGUUCACCCUAACAGCAGCCUGGUGGGAUCUGGGAUCAAUUAAAUGAAUGCACAGAACACAAAUAAAAGUUGAUUUUUCUAUAAAGAAGAUAACACAAAUGUGAAGUAACAGAACAUUUUAUUUCACAAAUAAUAUGAACACUUUACUUUUAACAGGCUAUCCCCUUUCUGUCAAAAUAGGAGUCGUUUCCUGUUUUGCAUUUCUAUUCUUCUGUACUCUGUAUUUGUUGGUCUGUUUCAGCGGGGCAUACACAGUGCAACAUUAACUCCUUCAAUAUUGAGCCCCCAAAGCAAGUCAAAAACACAAAGCAAUUAAGUCUACACUCAUAUAAAAAUAAAUCAAUUGCAAACAUGAAAACAUACAUCGAUCUCAUACAAUAAAGUCCUAUAGAAAAUAUUUUUUCUUUACAUAUAUAUAAUAUACAUCAAUAAAAUAACUGUCCUGUACAAUGUACACCUGAAUAUUUAAGACAGGUGAGAGGUACAUAAGUGUAUGGCUUGAUUGGAAAAAUAAUUACUUAUUUACAAUUUUACCUUUACAUCUUUUUAAAUGUUUUUGACUUCCCUGGAAUGAAAAGGCAUCAAAAAAUGCCCA